UACGUAGGGUGCAAGCGUUACUCGGAAUUACUGGGCGUAAAGCGUGCGCAGGCGGUUAUGUAAGACCGGUGUGAAAUCCCCGGGCUUAACCUGGGAACUGCAUUUGUGACUGCAUAGCUAGAGUACGGCAGAGGGGGAUGGAAUUCCGCGUGUAGCAGUGAAAUGCGUAGAUAUGCGGAGGAACACCGAUGGCGAAGGCAAUCCCCUGGGCCUGUACUGACGCUCAUGCACGAAAGCGUGGGGAGCAAACAGG
rnacentral:rRNA from 1 species